UUAAUUGAAGAGUUUGAUCAUGGCUCAGAUUGAACGCUGGCGGCAGGCCUAACACAUGCAAGUCGAGCGGUAACAGAAAAGAAGCUUGCUUCUUUUGCUGACGAGCGGCGGACGGGUGAGUAAUGCCUGGGAAUAUACCCUGAUGUGGGGGAUAACUAUUGGAAACGAUAGCUAAUACCGCAUAAUCUCUUCGGAGCAAAGAGGGGGACCUUCGGGCCUCUCGCGUCAGGAUUAGCCCAGGUGGGAUUAGCUAGUUGGUGGGGUAAUGGCUCACCAAGGCGACGAUCCCUAGCUGGUCUGAGAGGAUGAUCAGCCACACUGGAACUGAGACACGGUCCAGACUCCUACGGGAGGCA
rnacentral:rRNA from 1 species